GGCGGGUGGCCCUAUACAUGCAAGUCGAGCGCGGGAGCGAGUGGAUCCCUUCGGGGUGAAGCUCGUGGAACGAGCGGCGGACGGGUGAGUAACACGUGGGCAACCUGCCUGUAAGAUCGGAAUAACCCCGGGAAACCGGGGCUAAUGCCGGGUAAUACUUUCUUUCGCAUGAAGGAAAGUUGAAAGAUGGCUUCUCGCUAUCACUUACAGAUGGGCCCGCGGCGCAUUAGCUAGUUGGUGAGGUAACGGCUCACCAAGGCGACGAUGCGUAGCCGACCUGAGAGGGUGAUCGGCCACACUGGGACUGAGACACGGCCCAGACUCCUACGGGAGGCAGCAGUAGGGAAUCUUCCGCAAUGGACGAAAGUCUGACGGAGCAACGCCGCGUGAACGAUGAAGGUCUUCGGAUCGUAAAGUUCUGUUGUUAGGGAAGAACAAGUACCGUGCGAAUAGAGCGGUACCUUGACGGUACCUAACGAGGAAGCCCCGGCUAACUACGUGCCAGCAGCCGCGGUAAUACGUAGGGGGCAAGCGUUGUCCGGAAUUAUUGGGCGUAAAGCGCGCGCAGGCGGUUCCUUAAGUCUGAUGUGAAAGCCCACGGCUCAACCGUGGAGGGUCAUUGGAAACUGGGGAACUUGAGGACAGAAGAGGAGAGUGGAAUUCCACGUGUAGCGGUGAAAUGCGUAGAUAUGUGGAGGAACACCAGUGGCGAAGGCGACUCUCUGGUCUGUUUCUGACGCUGAGGUGCGAAAGCGUGGGUAGCAAACAGGAUUAGAUACCCUGGUAGUCCACGCCGUAAA
rnacentral:rRNA from 1 species